rfam:Aedes albopictus isolate Foshan contig121906, whole genome shotgun sequence.
UGCCCAGCAACUCCUAUCCCUACCUCCUCGUGGUACCGGCCGGAAACUAUGAGCAACCUUAGGGGAGAUCGGGUAACCAACCCCGGCGGGAACUUUGGUCAUAGGCUGACAGGGAGAA